rnacentral:rRNA from 1 species
UACGGAGGGAGCUAGCGUUGUUCGGAAUUACUGGGCGUAAAGCGCGCGUAGGCGGCUUUGUAAGUUAGAGGUGAAAGCCCGGGGCUCAACCCCGGAACUGCCUUUAAGACUGCAUCGCUUGAAUCCAGGAGAGGUGAGUGGAAUUCCGAGUGUAGAGGUGAAAUUCGUAGAUAUUCGGAAGAACACCAGUGGCGAAGGCGGCAUCCUGGUCUGCGACUGACGCUGAUGCGCGAAAGCAAGGGGAGCGAACGGG